UGUGCUAAUACCGCAUACGAUCUAUGGAUGAAAGCGGGGGAUCGCAAGACCUCGCGCGAUUGGAGCGGCCGAUAUCAGAUUAGGUAGUUGGUAGGGUAAAAGCCUACCAAGCCAACGAUCUGUAGCUGGUCUGAGAGGACGACCAGCCACACUGGAACUGAGACACGGUCCAGACUCCUACGGGAGGCAGCAGUGGGGAAUUUUGGACAAUGGGCGCAAGCCUGAUCCAGCAAUGCCGCGUGCAGGAUGAAGGCCUUCGGGUUGUAAACUGCUUUUGUACGGAACGAAAAAGUCUGCCCUAAUACGGCGGGCCCAUGACGGUACCGUAAGAAUAAGCACCGGCUAACUACGUGCCAGCAGCCGCGGUAAUACGUAGGGUGCGAGCGUUAAUCGGAAUUACUGGGCGUAAAGCGUGCGCAGGCGGUUAUAUAAGUCAGAUGUGAAAUCCCCGGGCUUAACCUGGGACCUGCAUUUGAGACUGUAUAGCUAGAGUACGGUAGAGGGGGAUGGAAUUCCGCGUGUAGCAGUGAAAUGCGUAGAUAUGCGGAGGAACACCGAUGGCGAAGGCAAUCCCCUGGACCUGUACUGACGCUCAUGCACGAAAGCGUGGGGAGCAAACAGGAUUAGAUACCCUGGUAGUCCACGCCCUAAACGAUGUCAACUGGUUGUUGGGAAUUCACUUUCUCAGUAACGAAGCCAACGCG
rnacentral:rRNA from 1 species